ensembl:snRNA LOC120096753 U1 spliceosomal RNA
AGACUUACCUGGCAGGGGAAGGACCACGAUUACAACGUUGGUUUUGCCAGGGUAAGACUUAUCCAUUGCACACCAGGUACAAUGAACCCUGGGAUUUCCCCAAAUGUGGGGAAAACUGCAUAGUUUUGUGGUCAUGGGGGACAGCGAUUGUGUUCUCCCCUG